UUCCAUCGCUAAGUCAAGGCUCCUUUCUUGCUUGUUUGCAAUUUUCUCCAUGAGAGUCGCCUGUUACAGCUUUGGUACAUUAAGCAGCGCUCGCCACUUUAGUGGUUUUCGACAUGGCGUCCGUCUUGGAAGCCUUGUCAUUAGAGCGCAUGGCGUGUUUCGUUUGAGUUGAGGUCUGCUUGGGCCGAGAUUAUUCUACGCCUUCAUCUCAUAGCACACCUCUUAGUAAUGUCACACACAUGC
rnacentral:snoRNA from 1 species